rnacentral:rRNA from 1 species
AUGAACGCUAGCUACAGGCUUAACACAUGCAAGUCGAGGGGCAGCAUUUUAGUUUGCUUGCAAACUAAAGAUGGCGACCGGCGCACGGGUGAGUAACACGUAUCCAACCUGCCGAUAACUCGGGGAUAGCCUUUCGAAAGAAAGAUUAAUAUCCGAUAGUAUAUUAAAACCGCAUGGUUUUACUAUUAAAGAAUUUCGGUUAUCGAUGGGGAUGCGUUCCAUUAGUUUGUUGGCGGGGUAACGGCCCACCAAGACUACGAUGGAUAGGGGUUCUGAGAGGAAGGUCCCCCACAUUGGAACUGAGACACGGUCCAAACUCCUACGGGAGGCAGCAGUGAGGAAUAUUGGUCAAUGGACGAGAGUCUGAACCAGCCAAGUAGCGUGAAGGAUGACUGCCCUAUGGGUUGUAAACUUCUUUUAUAUGGGAAUAAAGUAUUCCACGUGUGGGAUUUUGUAUGUACCAUAUGAAUAAGGAUCGGCUAACUCCGUGCCAGCAGCCGCGGUAAUACGGAGGAUCCGAGCGUUAUCCGGAUUUAUUGGGUUUAAAGGGAGCGUAGGUGGAUUGUUAAGUCAGUUGUGAAAGUUUGCGGCUCAACCGUAAAAUUGCAGUUGAAACUGGCAGUCUUGAGUACAGUAGAGGUGGGCGGAAUUCGUGGUGUAGCGGUGAAAUGCUUAGAUAUCACGAAGAACUCCGAUUGCGAAGGCAGCUCACUAGACUGCAACUGACACUGAUGCUCGAAAGUGUGGGUAUCAAACAGGAUUAGAUACCCUGGUAGUCCACACAGUAAACGAUGAAUACUAGCUGUUUGCGAUAUACAGUAAGCGGCCAAGCGAAAGCAUUAAGUAUUCCACCUGGGGAGUACGCCGGCAACGGUGAAACUCAAAGGAAUUGACGGGGGCCCGCACAAGCGGAGGAACAUGUGGUUUAAUUCGAUGAUACGCGAGGAACCUUACCCGGGCUUAAAUUGCAUUUGAAUAAUCUGGAAACAGGUUAGCCGCAAGGCAAAUGUGAAGGUGCUGCAUGGUUGUCGUCAGCUCGUGCCGUGAGGUGUCGGCUUAAGUGCCAUAACGAGCGCAACCCUUAUCUUUAGUUACUAACAGGUUAUGCUGAGGACUCUAGAGAGACUGCCGUCGUAAGAUGUGAGGAAGGUGGGGAUGACGUCAAAUCAGCACGGCCCUUACGUCCGGGGCUACACACGUGUUACAAUGGGGGGUACAGAAGGCAGCUACCUGGCGACAGGAUGCUAAUCCCAAAAACCUCUCUCAGUUCGGAUCGAAGUCUGCAACCCGACUUCGUGAAGCUGGAUUCGCUAGUAAUCGCGCAUCAGCCAUGGCGCGGUGAAUACGUUCCCGGGCCUUGUACACACCGCCCGUCAAGCCAUGAAAGCCGGGGGUACCUGAAGUACGUAACCGCAAGGAGCGUCCUAGGGUAAAACUGGUAAUUGGGGCU